CACUCACCGAUAAAGAGUUGAGUGGCGAACGGGUGAGUAACACGUGGGCAACCUGCCCAAAAGAGGGGGAUAACACUUGGAAACAGGUGCUAAUACCGCAUAACCAUAGUUACCGCAUGGUAGCUAUGUAAAAGGUGGCUAUGCUACCGCUUUUGGAUGGGCCCGCGGCGCAUUAGCUAGUUGGUGGGGUAAAGGCUUACCAAGGCAAUGAUGCGUAGCCGAACUGAGAGGUUGAUCGGCCACAUUGGGACUGAGACACGGCCCAAACUCCUACGGGAGGCAGCAGUAGGGAAUCUUCCACAAUGGGCGAAAGCCUGAUGGAGCAACGCCGCGUGGGUGAAGAAGGUCUUCGGAUCGUAAAACCCUGUUGUUAGAGAAGAAAGUGCGUGAGAGUAACUGUUCACGUUUCGACGGUAUCUAACCAGAAAGCCACGGCUAACUACGUGCCAGCAGCCGCGGUAAUACGUAGGUGGCAAGCGUUAUCCGGAUUUAUUGGGCGUAAAGGGAACGCAGGCGGUCUUUUAAGUCUGAUGUGAAAGCCUUCGGCUUAACCGGAGUAGUGCAUUGGAAACUGGGAGGCUUGAGUGCAGAAGAGGAGAGUGGAACUCCAUGUGUAGCGGUGAAAUGCGUAGAUAUAUGGAAGAGCACCAGUGGCGAAAGCGGCUCUCUGGUCUGUAACUGACGCUGAGGUUCGAAAGCGUGGGUAGCAAACAGGAUUAGAUACCCUGGUAGUCCACGCCGUAAACGAUGAAUGCUAAGUGUUGGAGGGUUUCCGCCCUUC
rnacentral:rRNA from 1 species